UACGGAGGGAGCUAGCGUUGUUCGGAAUUACUGGGCGUAAAGCGCGCGUUAGGCGGCUUUGUAAGUUAGAGGUGAAAAUCCCGGGGCUCAACCCCGGAACUGCCUUUGAUACUGGCAUUCUCGAGUCCGGAAGAGGUGAGUGGAAUUCCGAGUGUAGAGGUGAAAUUCGUAGAUAUUCGGAGGAACACCAGUGGCGAAGGCGGCUCACUGGUCCGGUACUGACGCUGAGGUGCGAAAGCGUGGGAGCAACAGGAUAGAA
rnacentral:rRNA from 1 species